CCUACGGGAGGCAGCAGUGAGGAAUAUUGGUCAAUGGGCGCGAGCCUGAACCAGCCAAGUCGCGUGAGGGAAGACGGUCCUAUGGAUUGUAAACCUCUUUUGUCGGGGAGCAAAAGACGCCACGCGUGGCGUUCCGAGAGUACCCGAAGAAAAAGCCUCGGCUAACUCCGUGCCAGCCGCCGCGGUAAUACGGAGGAUGCGAGCGUUAGCCGGAUUUAUUGGGUUUAAAGGGUGCGCAGGCGGAAGAUCAAGUCAGCGGUAAAAUUGAGAGGCUCAACCUCUUCGAGCCGUUGAAACUGGUUUUCUUGAGUGAGUGAGAAGUAUGCGGAAUGCGUGGUGUAGCGGUGAAAUGCAUAGAUAUCACGCAGAACUCCGAUUGCGAAGGCAGCAUACCGGCGCUCAACUGACGCUCAUGCACGAAAGUGUGGGUAUCGAACAGGAUUAGAUACCCGGGUAGUC
rnacentral:rRNA from 1 species